rnacentral:misc_RNA from 1 species
AACGCACGAGACCUGCGGACCUGCGGAGGGAUCAUUAUAGAAUAAACCUGGUGGACUGUUGCUGGCUCUCUCGGGAGCAUGUGCACGUCUGUCAUCUUUAUAUCUCCACCUGUGCACCUUUUGUAGACCUGGAAAUAACUUUAUUCUGAGGAGACUCAGUUGUGAGGAUUUGUAGGCUUCAUUUAGAAGUCAGCUUUCCUUCAGUGUCCAGGCCUAUGUCUUUUCAUACACACCAAACAU